rnacentral:rRNA from 1 species
UACGGAGGGAGCAAGCGUUGUUCGGAUUUACUGGGCGUAAAGGGCGCGUAGGCGGCCACUGCAAGCCGGUUGUGAAAUCUCCGGGCUUAACCCGGAAAGGUCAACCGAUACUGCCAUGACUCGAGUCCGGUAGAGGAGUGUGGAAUUCCCGGUGUAGCGGUGAAAUGCGCAGAUAUCGGGAGGAACACCGGUGGCGAAGGCGGCAUCCUGGACCGGCAUUGACGCUGAGGCGCGAAAGCCAGGGGAGCAAACGGG